rnacentral:misc_RNA from 1 species
GAUGAAGAACGCAGCGAAAUGCGAUAAGUAAUGUGAAUUGCAGAAUUCAGUGAAUCAUCGAAUCUUUGAACGCACCUUGCGCUCCUUGGUAUUCCGAGGAGCAUGCCUGUUUGAGUGUCAUUAAAUUCUCAACCUCACCAGUUUUCUGAACUGUUCUCCGAGGCUUGGAUGUGGGGGUUUGUGCAGGCUGCCUCAGCGCGGUCUGCUCCCCUGAAAUGCAUUAGCGAGUUCGAUACUGAGCUCCGUCUAUUGGUGUGAUAAUUAUCUACGCCGUGGAUCGGGGCUUAGACUCGCUUCUAACCGUCCGCAAGGACAAUACCUUGACAAUUUGACCUCAAAUCAGGUAGGACUACCCGCUGAACUUAAGCAUAUCAAUAAGCGGAGGA